rnacentral:rRNA from 1 species
UAAGGAAUAUUGGACAAUGGUCGCAAGACUGAUCCAGCCAUGCCGCGUGCAGGAAGACGGCCCUAUGGGUUGUAAACUGCUUUUGUACCAGAGAAAACCUAUCUACGUGUAGAUAGCUGAUAGUAUGGUAAGAAUAAGCAUCGGCUAACUUCGUGCCAGCAGCCGCGGUAAGACGAAGGAUGCAAGCGUUAUCCGGAUUCAUUGGGUUUAAAGGGUGCGUAGGCGGGCUUGUAAGUCAGUGGUGAAAUCUCUCAGCUUAACUGAGAAACUGCCAUUGAUACUGCAGGCCUAGAGUAUAGAUGACGUAGGCGGAAUAUGGCAUGUAGUGGUGAAAUACUUAGAUAUGUCAUAGAACACCGAUUGCGAAGGCAGCUAACGAAACUAUAACUGACGCUGAGGCACGAAAGUGCGGGGAUCAAACA